rnacentral:lncRNA from 1 species
UAGUCCCUCCCCCCCACACACACACACACACAACCCCUCGCAAUCUACCCGAAGCUGCCCACGGAGGCCAGAGGAUUCCGGGCGCAGCGGCUCUUUCCCCAGGCGAAGUCGGGGAGCACUGUACCCGCGUCGCAGGACCCUGGACCCCGGCCCGCAAAGCCCCGCUGGGACGAUCGCACGCCGCCAGCCCUCGGUCUCGGCUCCCACCUGUGCCCUGCAGCAUGUUCUGGCGGAGCAGGUCCCCGCUGGAGAGGUGCUUCAGCUCGAAGUGUUUGGUGAUGCGUGACGACACGGUGCCCUUACCGGAGCCCGGGGCCCCCAUGAUCACGGCGCGCAGCAGCCGCCCCGAUGCCCCCAUGGUGGCAAGCGGUGGCCGAAGCUGCGCAGACGCUGAACUGCGGCCUGGCCUGGGCGCUCAAAGGCUCUGAGGCCCUGGCCCGCUGGCAACUGCAAGCGGGCGGUGGCCAGGGCGCCCGGCUCUCCCGGAAGUGAGCGACGGCCACCGGGGCCGCCCCGCCGGCUGCUGCACCGCCCCUCCGCGCCCCUGCACCCCACUCCCUUGGGCUCCACCCCGCGCUUCUUGGCAUUCCCGGACCCUCGUGUCCUGUGCUGCCUGGUCCCAGCCUGCAGGCUGCGCCCGUCUGCAUUCUCCCCAGUAGACAACCUCUAAGCACCCCCUUCUACUUCUAGUCUCUCGCUGGCAUCUUUGGGUGGCUGGAUUUCAUUUUUUCUCUGUGUUCAUCUUUUUCACCCUUAGUCUUUUCUAAGAGCCAGAUUCUGUCCUGCUCAGACCCCCAAAAAGGAAGCAGGGUGGCCCAUGUUGUAUUCCCUCUGUUCCCCCUGGUUCAUCAGAUGUCCCCCCACCUUUUCACACCAAUCCUCCCUUGACCUUCUUUUUUCCGCCCCAUUUCCUUUUCCUCCAGGGGUAACCUUGAACCCUCCUCAUUGAAGUUUUUAUCAAAUGAAGUAUGUGUCUCCGGAAAUACACUUUCAGAACC